UCUAGACUCCUCACAAGUGUAUUUUUUUUUUUAAAUAUAGAAAGUUUGAAGUGUAGAAUGAGAAAUUUAAAGUGCCAAUAACAAUUCCCUAAUCAAUAAAAGCCCACUUACACUUGGAUUAAGAAUAAAAAAACAAUUUUUUUAUUUCUCCGAAUAAAAAAAUGAUUGCUCUUAAUUAACUGAACUACAAUUCUUAUUGCGGUUUCAUGUUUCUAUUCUCACUUGGAAGUUUUAUAGAAGUGGCUUAUGAUAACCGACUAAUCAAUAAAAGCCCAUUUACACUUGGAUAAAGAAUGAUCGAGUUGGACCAGAUCGGCCGGACCCAGCCCAUUUGGCCACCGCAUUGUUUCAACCCAUAUCUAGUUCGGAUCUUGAAACUUGAAUUCACUCCAUCCAGCUGCCCAUCACUGAUCAGUCUUCCAACAAAACCCAUGGAUCCUCCACAUGGAGGGAGGCCAUGCUUGCUUCACCAUCCCCACCACCACCUCCACCACCAUCACCACCGCCACCCUUUAUUCCUCAGCCCUCUCCACCACCGCCGCCACCACCACCACCACUUCCACCAUCUCCGCCUCAAUUUUGCGUCUUUUCCUCAAAACCGAGAACCCCCAGCUGCCGCCCCCAUUCCUUUCCCAACCCAUAUGAAUUCAGAACCUUCUGAGCUCAAAGAAGCGCACUACGACGAUCCUACCUUUCUGGAAUUAGGAAUGUGAGAUGAAUGCAUAUGGCGUUUUUGCACCUCAAGAAACUCCAAUUUAGGUUCACACAUGCCGGAUGCAAGCAAAUUAUUGUCCUCGAUUUGGCAAUUCAAGAUUUGGUUUCUGAUCAGUUUGUUAACAGGACAUUGCCGGAGCAGACGUAUGGUGAAAUCGGUGAAGGUGUGGUGGAAGAGGAAGAGGAUGAUGAACCGAUUUUCGUCUUAACAGACGAGUGGAAGGAGUUUUUAGCAAAAUGUGAAGCUAAGAGGAAACUAGAGAAGCAGCAGGCCAAGAAGAAGGGAAAAUAUAAACAGAGUCAAGAGUGAAAUCAUAAGUUUCCUUUGGCUACGAGCCUGACUUGUAAGUGGCGUUUUUAUUUUUUAUUUUUGAAAUAUUGGCAACGAUGAAAUGUUGAAGUAAUUUUUGUAGAAAAAUGUAGCAAUUAUGCCAGAGAAAACCCUAAUGUGACUCCAAUGUUCAUCGAAAGGAAGCUUUCUGAUUUAUGUGACA